GGCGGCGCCCGGAGCUGGGCUGGGGGUCACGGCGGAGAUGAGGCAGUCGCCGGCGGGGAGACGAGGCGCUGCGCGAGGAAGAGGACCCGGGAGGGCGAGCCCGCGGUCCGCACCUGCGUGUCCGGGAGGGGGAGGAGGUCUCAGCCAAACUGGAGGUGGGGUCUCUUGCUGAGCGCAGGUCAACAGGAGGAUGAGAGGAGAGGCCUGGCCUGUGCAACCUCUGGACAGGCGGAUUCUUAACCACUGCGCCACCAGGGAAGUUCCUGUUAUGAACAAUUCUUGCAUAUGCCUUUUGGUGAACAGCUGUACAUGUUUUUAUUGGGUAUAUAACUGGGAGUAGAAGUUCUGGGCCAGAGGUUUGGCUACUUGUUUGUUUGUUUUUUUUUAACCAUGAGGCAUGUGGGAUCCUAGUUCCCCGACCAGAGAUUGAACCCGUUCCCCCUGCACUGGAAGCAUGGAGUCCCAACCACUGGACUGCCAGGGAAGUCCCUUGGCUACUUUUUAUUUUUUGACAUUUUCCAGAUUUUAUAAUUGGAGAAACUGAGGUGAAAGGUUGACUUGCUCAAGAAACUGAUUAAAUUUCAAAACUUGCAUUCAUUUACAGAUAGAUAGACUGAUUGAUUGAUAGACACACACUCACAUGAAAACUUCUCAGUCUUCCUCUCUUAUUUAUUUCACCUGCAUGACACUCCCGGGAGAUAGACUUGAUACCCUGAUUUUACAGAGAAGACCCAGACUGUGGGAGGUCCCAUGAGAUAGAGAGAAUGAGAUGAAAUAACAGCUGCUGUGGAUGUACUUUGUGGAAAUCAUUCUCAGAUUUGUGGAGAAUGAUUUGCCCGUCCAGGACUCACUCAUCCGUACCACACAGCUUCCAGAGAAAGAACAGGCAUGAAUUCCUCUGUGGGAGAUUGAUUCUACUGCAACAAAUCUUUAUCACAGCCUUGUUUUUUUUGUUUUUUCCUCCAAAAGGAUGGGACUGGCUUCUGAGAAUACAUGAAACCCAUACAUCCUGUUUGUUUCUGGCAAGGUUUUAUGACUCGCUUAGUUAAAAUAAAGAUCCUUCCGAAAGGGGAGGUGACUGAUCUCCCUGUAGGCUGGAGGAAGCCUUAGUUAAGAGUGAUAAAAAGGACACCUGUGGUAUGGCAGCCACUGUGCCUUCCUGGAAUCCACAUAGCAGUUCUGGGAAAAAGGUUCUGGGACCCCCAUUUACAGAUGGGAAGAAAAGCGCAGGAGGUGAAACGACUUGCCUCCAUCCCACGGUAGGGAUUGUUUGGUGGGAAGGCGCUGAAAAUCCUCUGAUUUCUUUCUCAGGGCCUGGUGUGUCCAUUUGAACUGGCUCAACUAGGAAAAGUGCAAGUUGCUACAAAUGAAGUUUCCUGGGUCUAGGGGCUGCUCAGGGACAUCUAAGGAUAAGGAGUAUCACUGGGCAUGGAAGGCUUCUUCCUCCUCUCCUAGGGCAGAGAUGCUGGAGCUGGAGGAUGCAUGGUAUGGCUAGAAUCUGUGUGAUCCGGAUUCCAGGGAAGAUGCUGCUGGGCUCUGGAGAGGCUGAGGAGGGUCCUUGCUGCUGCUGUGAUGGCUCUCAGAAGUGUGGUGGGCAGGGGAGAAGCUCCCUGGUAUGGCUGGUAGUUCUGACAAUGGCAGACGUCACUCACUAAAAUGGACAGUGAUGCCUUGUUUCUAGUGAGGGAAGAGACCUUGUUGCCUGGAGACCUGAACAUGGUUGGAUACAUCGUAGAGAAACCAGAGAAGUCAUCAUUUCCUAUGUUGGGCAUUUGGAUCCAUGUUCUUACCAGUUCUCCCCAAACUCCGGUGAGGUGUGAAGUAUCACCUCCAUCACUGAGGCUCGGAGUGCUUAAGUGACUUACCCAAUGGCCACAGCGAGGAAGUGGAGAAACGGGGAUUGGGAUCUGAGCCUGCCUGACCUAAAAUGUAUGCUUUUAGCCACUCCCCUCCAGCUCUGUUACCAUGGUUACAUUUGUUCAGGAUGCUACAGUUACAGCACAUCACAUACAUGAUCUUACUGGAACUACUAAACACCCCUUUGGGGCAGCAUAGCCAUGCUAAUGUUCCCAUUUUACCAACGAAGAAACUGAGGGUCAAAGAGAAAUCAUGUCUUGCCCAUGAUUACCCUGCUGGUCAGUGGCAGAGAUGGGAUCAGAACCCAGAUCUUUGGGACCAGGAUGUAUGGAUAGGUAUUAAUGUAUCAAAAUCAAUGUAUCAGUGCUGGUAGUGUGGUUCCAAUACUACCAAUGCUGGUAGUGUGGUUCUCUUUUUUUAUAAUGUACAAAAUUAAGAAAAAUUACAAAUAUUUCAUUCCCUACAAAAGAGUGUAUAUAAAUCUAUAUAAAACAUACUUACAGAUUAAAGACUAACAAUAAACAUCCAUGUACUCACCACCACCUUAAAAACGAGAACAUCAUUGAUACCUUUAGAACCCUUCCACGAUGAUUACAUCCCCUCUUCCUUUCCCCUCUAGUGGUAACCACUAUCCUGAAUUUUAUUUUAUUAUUAUUAUUUUUAAUUAUUUUAUUUAUUUUUGGCUACAUUGGGUCUUCUUUGCUGCACGCAGGC